UUGUGUCCUCAUUGAAUUUGACGAUGACGUUGGAGCUGUGUGUGGCUGUACAGUCAUGUGUGUGUGUGUACAGGGAGUACAGGAGUGAGCUGAGGACACAGCCCUGAGGAGCACCAGUGUUGAGGGUCAGUGGGGAGGAAGUGUUGCUGCCCAUUCUUACUACCUGACUUCUGCCUGUCAGGAAGUCCAGAAUCCAGCUGCAGAGAGAUCUGUUUAGUCCCAGAGUCUGGAGCUUCGCAACAAGUGUGGCAGGCAUUAUAGUGUUAAAUGCUGAGCUGUAGUCCACAAACAGCAUUCUCACAUAGGUGUUCUUAUUUUCCAGGUGGGAGAGAGCAGUAUGAAGGUUGAAAGCAAUAGCAUCAUCUGUGGAACGGUUGCUACGAUAUGCAAAUUGUAGCGGAUCAAGUGAGGAAGGCAGCACAGAGCGAUGAGUCUCUCAAAGCACUUGCUGAAGAUGGGUGUGAGAGCAACUGGCCUCCAGUCAUUUAGGCAUGUGAUUUUAUUUUUCUUUGGUAUGGGCACAAUGGUGGAUUUUUUUGAAGCACGAUGGGACCACAGACAGAGGGAGAGGUUGAAAAUGUCUUUGAAGACACCGGCUAGUUGGGAUGCGCAUGCUCGGAGCACACGGCCUGGGAUGCCAUCAGGACCCGCAGCCUUGCAAAUGUUUACCCGUUGAAAGGAUCGGGUUACAUCCACGACAGAGACUGAGAGUGCACUCACAUCUUCUGCAGCAGCUGUGGGAGCACUCUCUGUGUGGGCAGGGUUGUGAGCCUCGAAACGAGCAUAAGUUAUUUAGCUCAUCCGGUAGAGAGGUUCACAGUCGCUGUUUUGUUCCCUUUAAAGUCUGUGAUGUUGUUGAUGCCCUGCCACAUGCUUCUUGUGUCGUUGGUGAUGAAUUGUUCUUCAACUUUGUUUAUAUAUUGUCUUUUUGCAACUUUGAUGAAUUUCCUGAGAUCAUAACUAGCUUGUUUGCGAUCAUCAGGAUUCCUGAAUUUAAAAGCAGACGUCCGUGCUGACAAGGCUGCUUGAACUUCGCUAUUAAUCCACGGUUUUUGGUUGGGGUAGAUGCGGAUUGUUUUUGUCGGCACAACAUCUUCUACACGAUUCCCGAUGAAACACAUGACAGAAUCUGAGUACACCUCUAUGUCGUCAUCAGACGCUGCCAGAACAUGUCCCAGUCCACGUGAUCAAAACAGUCCUGUAGUAUAGCGUCUGAUUGGUCCGACCAGCAUUGGACUGUCCUGAGGGCGGGUGCUUCCCGUUUCAAUUUCUGCCUAUAAGCAGGCAGGAGCAGAAUUGACGAGUGAUCCGAUUUGCUGAAAGGUGGGUGGGGGAGGGAUUUGUAGGCAUCCCAGAAGGGAGAGUAGCAGUGGUCCAGUACACGGUGACCACACGUGUUGAUGGUGAUGUGUUGGAAAUAUUUUGGAGCUAUUGUUCUGAAGUUGGCUUUGUUAACGUCCCCCAUAACAAUAAAUGCUGCAUCUGGGUAAGCCAUUUCCUGCUCACUUAUAUUCCCAUACAGUUCCUUGAGUCUGAAAUAAAAAUGAGGACAAUUAGGAAACUGGACCUUGAAAUAAAAAAAAACAACUUGAGUGGCAGGUGAGUUAUGCUUUCAAUGUACACUAUAUGCUAACUGUAACAAAAAUGUGUUAAUCAUUAUUCUCCUUUCCUCCACCAGCUCCAAGAAGAUGACACAUCUUAAAAUAAAAAAUAUAAGGUGAACUCUCGUAAAGUCAAGUGAGCCAUGACAUAUGAGCUCCCAUUGUGAGCGCACAGGACCAGUGGCAUCUUUAGUAGGUUUUUUUAAUUUUCCCCAGCAAUCAGUACAAAUAAGAUUUGUUAAAAAGCACCGCCCCUUCCGCCAUGCACUGAGUGUGGAGAACUGGGUGUGUGUUCACUGCUGUGUGUGUGCACUUUGGAUGGGUCAAAUGCAGAGAACGAAUUCUGAAUAUGGGUCACCAUACUUAGCCGUAUGUCACUGUACUCAGUGGGGGAUGCUGAACAAGGCCACAAUUUGCCACACAAUAAGGAGUGUGUGUCUGGCGAUCAAAGCAUUAGCAGAUGUCUUCAUCUCCUUCCCUGGCCACAGAAGACUCUGUGACAUCAAAUAGGAGUUCUAUAGGAUUGCAGGUAAGAGGAUUACAGAACAACUGUUAACACUUAUAGUAGGAUACUCAUUACUUUGUGUGACAGGUUUCCCCAAUGUCAUUGGUGCACUGGACUGCACACACAAGGAUAAAAGCCCCCUCAGAUGGUCUGCAAUGCUGACUGUGUGAUCAGCAAUGUUGUGGCAAAAUGGCCUGGCUCAGUCCAUGACUCCAGAAUCUUUCGGGCCUCUGAAAUCUAUCACUGCCUAUCACAAGGUGAGUUCUCUGGUGCGUUCCUGGGAGACAGGGGGUAUGGCUGCCAGCCUUUUCUCCUGAAACCUUUCACAGACCCCCAGGAAGCACAACAGGCCUACAACCAUACCCAUGCCAGGACCAGGGCAAGAGUUGAAAUGGCCUUUGGCCUCCUGAAGGCACGCUUUCACUGCCUUCACAAAUUAAGGGUCAGCCCUGUGAGGGCAUGUGACAUUACUGUGGCUUGUGCUGUCCUCCACAAUGUGGCCUGCCUGAGGAAGGAGAGGGCCCCCAGAGUGCCACCAGCCAUGGACUGGGACAAUCCGACAAUCUUCCCUGAUGAUGAUAGUGGUCGGCUGCUGAGGGACCAAUAUGUGUUGAAUUAUUUUAGUUAGUAUGUGUGCUUUCAAUUUUGGUUAAAUAUGUCCUAUGGUGGAAAGGAUUUUUUUUAUUAUUAUUAUUUUAUUAUUUGGCCUCUUAUGAGACCUUUUGAAUGUGUAUUUCUCCUUUUGUUGUAUAAUAUGCUUUCAUUCUGUGCUUUACAUCUUGUAGAGUCACUGUGGUGUGACUGUGG